rnacentral:rRNA from 1 species
UGUGAGUACAACUCUGUGCGGUGGAUCACUCGGCUCGUGUGUCGAUGAAGAGCGCAGCCAACUGUGUGAAUUAAUGCGAACUGCAUACUGCUUUGAACAUCGACAUUUCGAACGCAUCUAGAAAUCCAUAUGACUAGUAGAU